AUGAAGAGUUUGAUCCUGGCUCAGGAUAAACGCUGACAGAAUGCUUAACACAUGCAAGUCGAUGAGCUAAGUAAGCUUGCUUACAAGGCACAUGGCGGACGGGUGAGUAACGCGUAAAGAACUUACCCACUAGACUGGGAUAACAGAGAGAAAUUUCUGAUAAAACCGGAUAAGUUAGUAGUAGGCAUCUACUGCAAAUGAAAAAGAGAUUACUAGUGGAGAGCUUUGCGUCCUAUUAGCUAGUUGGUGGGGUAAAGGCCUACCAAGGCGAUGAUAGGUAGCCGGCCUGAGAGGGUGAACGGCCACAAGGGGACUGAGAUACGGCCCUUACUCCUACGGGAGGCAGCAGUGGGGAAUAUUGGACAAUGGAGGUAACUCUGAUCCAGCAAUUCUGUGUGUGCGAUGACGGUCUUCGGAUUGUAAAGCACUUUUAGUUGGGAAGAAAAAAAUGACGGUACCAACAGAAGAAGCGACGGCUAAAUACGUGCCAGCAGCCGCGGUAAUACGUAUGUCGCUAGCGUUAUCCGGAAUUAUUGGGCUUAAAGGGCAUCUAGGCGGCAAAACAAGUUGAAGGUGAAAAGCUGUGGCUCAACCAUAGUCUUGCCUACAAAACUGUAAUGCUAGAGUACUGGAAAGGUGGGUGGAACUACACGAGUAGAGGUGAAAUUCGUAGAUAUGUGUAGGAAUGCCGAUGAUGAAGAUAACUCACUGGACAGAAACUGACGCUGAAGUGCGAAAGCUAGGGGAGCAAACAGGAUUAGAUACCCUGGUAGUCCUAGCUGUAAACGAUGAUCACUGGGUGUGGGGAGUCAAAUCUCUGUGCCGAAGCAAAAGCGAUAAGUGAUCCGCCUGGGGAGUACGUUCGCAAGAAUGAAACUCAAAGGAAUUGACGGGGGCCCGCACAAGUGGUGGAGCAUGUGGUUUAAUUCGACGCUACGCGAGGAACCUUACCAGAUCUUGACAUCUACGGAAGACAAAGGAGACUUUGUUGUGCCUUAUAGGAACCGUAAGACAGGUGGUGCAUGGCUGUCGACAGCUCGUGUUGUGAGAUGUUGGGUUAAGUCCCGCAACGAGCGAAACCCCUAUCAUUAGUUGCCAUCAUUAAGUUGGGGACUCUAAUGAAACUGCUAGCGAAGAGCUAGAGGAAGGUGGGGAUGACGUCAAGUCAUCAUGCCCCUUAUGAUCUGGGCUACACACGUGCUACAAUGGGUAGUACAAUGAGAAGCAAGAUGGCGACAUUAAGCAAAACUCAAAAGCUACUCUUAGUUCGGAUUGGAGUCUGCAACUCGACUCCAUGAAGUUGGAAUCACUAGUAAUCGUGAAUCAGCAAUAUCACGGUGAAUACGUUCUCGGGCCUUGUACACACCGCCCGUCACACCACGAGAGUUGUUUGCACCUGAAGUUACUGGCCUAACUGUAAAGAGGGAAGUACCUAAGGUGUGAAUAGUGAUUGGGGUGAAGUCGUAACAAGGUAUCCGUACCGGAAGGUGCGGAUGGAUCACCUCCUU
rnacentral:rRNA from 1 species